ACAGAUUUUAAAAACACCUUAUCUUUGAAAUACUCUUCCAUUCGCCUAAUUUUGGAAUUGAUCCCCUGAAUGUUUGUCAUUUUGAAAUUAACCCUAACAUGAGAAUACCACACCAACAUGGUCCAGCACAAAGUUCGGAUAAAAGUUUAGGCCCCAUUACCGAACCAUAUCAGUAGUAACUGAAGUACAUUUUAAUCCCACAUCGAAAAUAUGGAGAUCUCACCAUUUCAUAUAUCAGCCCCUAUGUCUGGCGUAGAUCGAGCAAUGGAACAAGUUUAUUUUGCGAAGAUUUGAUGAUUGAUUGAAGUUAUUUUCAGUGGGUUUUUUGGGUCUGAAUUUUUUAUCUGAAAAUUAGGGUUAUUAUUUUUUGAAAAAUGGAACAAAUUUAUUUUGCGAAGAUUUGAUGAUUGAUUGAAGUUAUUUUCAGUGGGUUUUUUGGGUCUGAAUUUUUUAACCGAGAAUUAGGGUUAUUAUUUGUUGAAUUUUUUUUAACAUUUUUAGAUGGUUUAGGUUUUCUGCUAGUGAUGUGAGACGUGGUGCAAAUUCAUGAUUCUUUAGCUUCUACUCUGUCGAUUACACCAGCAAUCUUUGGUUUAAAUUUUUUACAAUCAGUCUUUUUUUCCCGAUUGCAGAUAAUUUGGUGUCAGUCGCGGUUGACUAGCCGCCGCUGGUGGGGCUGAAGCGGAGCAAAAGUAGCAUGAAUGGACACCGACAACAGAAAUCUGAUCGAUAACUUCGAUUUCCUUGUUAUUGUGCCACGGGUACUCGAGGUUUUCUAUGUUGAAAUACGAUGGUAUAAUUUUAUUCAAAAAUAUAUCAUUCACAGACUAACGAGCAUGGUGUCUUCCUGAAAUUGAUAAUUUAAAAUUGGUGUUUUUUGUGAUAUUUUCUUUUGCUAAGCUUCGCAUUGCGCACAUCAUCGUUUGUCUGAUAUUAAAUUUCAGUAUUUAAUUCUUCAUAGAAGUUGUGGCUUUAAAAUUCUGGGGAAUGUAUUCAAGUUUCUAAAAUGAGAAUAACUAGGGAAAAUCAAGUAAAAUUUGUUGUAGUAUAACAUAAAAGUGUCAACGGUAAAGACAAGGGUUGCUAUUCAAAGAAUCGAAUCCAUUAUCAUUGUUCUUUUCUUCAUGUAACUCCAUUUUAUGACUAGAAAACAUACCAGCACAGUACAAUAUAUUUUAUGUCUUUAUUUGUUUGAUGUUGAUGGCUAUAUUUCUAAACCAUUUUCUUUUCCUUGCGUGUUGAAUAGAUAAUAUGAUACUAUUGUUACAGUAAACUUAACUGCAGAAUCCCCUUUAGCAGAUAGUUCCAUCUUCAAAAAUCUCAUUGAUAAUUUUGGUCGUCUCACUAGCCCCUGUUUGGCCCCAAUUAAAUUUCAUUACAUUACAUUCCAUUUUUCUCUCUCCUAUUUUCAACCACACAAUCUUCCAUAAAAUAAUAUUACACGUAAAUCGAAAACUUUUCCUUCUUCUUCAAUCACUCAUUUUUCAAAAAAAAACUAUUCCACCCAUUUUCAUUUUUAAAAAAUGGGGGCCAAACCGGAAGAAUGUAAGGUAGUGUAUCUGAUUCCUUUUAACAGCUUCUGAAAAUUGUCUAACAAAAAUAUUUCAGAGCAUAUGAUGUUGCCUGCUAAAGUACAAAUUAUUAAUGCGAGGUACAAUGACAAAAUGAUUAUUCUAGCAUAUAAGAACUAAUACUCAUGUGACUUGAAGACUUUGUUUUGUAAAGUUUUGCAGAGUAGAAUAACAUAAUUUUUUUAGCAUUCGAAAGUUAACCUCAUAUUUCACUAUUAUCUCUACAUGUUUUCCUACUUGAUAUCUUAACGUUUUCAUCAUAGCUACACCAAUAUUUGCAGUUUGUUACUUGGAUAUAAAUGUUGUUUUACCAAAAGUUCUCUGACACCGGUUGUAUCUUCUAAUUGUCAAUCAGCUUAUGCUGUAAUUCACGAAAGAAUCUUAACUUUCAAUAGGCACCUCAUUGUACAAAUGAGGAUAUGUUUGUAUCGUUCCAUAUCAAGACAUAAAUUUGUAUGGAGAUUGAAUAAACCUAAGGAGAGGGAGCAGAACUUCAUCUAAUCUAUCAAUUUUUCUCGAGUUUUUUAAAAUUAUAGAUGGUGUAUUCACUCACUAUAGUUUGUUAAGACUUGAGGUUCCAUCCUAAAAGGUCAACCUUGUUAUGAGUAGUAGUCCAAACCCUUAUAAAUUGGUCUAUAUUUUCAUAUUUAGAUGGUGGCUUCUCUAAGCAGACCAAUUUUGAAAUCGUGUUCUCAUUUUUUGAGUCUUAAUCGAAUCGAAUCGCUCAUUGGAGUUUAAUGAGCUCUGAUACCAUGGUAAGACUUGAGGUCCAUCUUAAUAAGGUCAACCUUAUUAAGAGGAAUAGCCCAAGAUCUUUUUAAGUUGGUCAAUAUUUCGAUAUUUAACCGAUGUGAGAUUUUUAUCACUUAGCAUGCCUCCACAAGAUGGUGCAUUGUUUGAGUAGACCAAUCUUACAAUCUGUUGCUUAUUAAUUGAGACUUAUAAUCGGAUCGAAUCGCUCGUUAGAGCUUAAUGAGCUCUGAUACCAUGUUAAAACAUGAUAUUCCAUUUUCAAGGGUCAAUCUUGUUAAGAGUAGUCCAAACCUUUAUAAAUUGGUUUAUAUUUUCAUCUUUAUUCGAUAUGGAAUUAUAUCCCCUUACUAUGAUCGAUAAAUUAAUGAAUAGAAUAUCUGCAAAAGAAAAGGCUGGAUGUAUAGUGUGUAGUGUUUGUGUUCAAAGCCGAAAAUUUCUAUCCUCGACUUUCUCCUCUAGGUUCUAGAACUGUAGAGCAUGAUCAACUUGCGUCUUGAAUCAAGAAGUGAAAGUUUUAGCAUGCCCUUCACUAGUGUUUAUGAAUUUGAGUUAACAAACCGAGAAGUUUUUAUAAAGCUAAAUAAACACAGCUAAAAUGUGUUGUUAUGCUGAUAAUAAAAGCGCCCCUUCAUCUUCUCUCAUGCAGAGAAGUCCUUCAUUCACCUUGUUCUAUUUUCAGUGUUAUCAUAC
rnacentral:lncRNA from 1 species